CGCGCCCAACAGGCUCACAGUCGAAGGGGAGCUUGGUAAAAUACUGGAGACACUGAAACGAAAAACAUAUAAAAGCAGUUCGGAGUAGAUAGAAAGAGUAAGGAGAAUCCUCGCUGGGGAAAAGCUUGGCCCUUUGAAUUGUAAUAUAUUCUGGGAAUUGUCUCAAUAGCGUUGGUGGUUCAGAGGUCAAGUUUUUGCCUACAACGCGGGAUACUCAGACCUCUGUCUCUUCAGGACCAUUCUAGCCCAAGGCCCCAGAGGCCAGUCUCAGGUGCCAGACUUCACAGGGCCAGCUCAGCCACCAGAGGGUCAGAGGAGACCCAGGGGGACAGAGGAGAAUGGGGGGCCCUGGUCAACAUGGAACUUCUUGGGUUGCCUAACAUUGGCAACACUUGCUUCCUAAACGCCACCCUGCAGUGCCUCCUGGUCCUGCCUUCCUUCUCAAAGGAAAUCCUAUGCCAGGAACAACUCUGGAACUCCUCCCCCUUCUCCAACCUGCUCAGGUGUCUGUCUGAUGUGCACCGUUCGGGUCUACCUGACAGUGGUGCAAACCAGGCCUCAAAAGCAGACCUCAUGUGGAAGGUCAAGUACUCCUUGUCGGGAUAUGAUUUGAAGUAUCUUGGGGACACGCAACAGGACGCAUACGAGUUACUUGUGAAUAUGCUGUGCCAGCUGAAGGAGAAGGGCAUGAUAGUGAAGAUGCUCGGAGUGAACUAUACCUGCCCUGUUUCCCAACUGGAGUUCCAGCUUGCGUCAGUGCGCACAUGUACCAGUGUGCUGAUUCUGCAUCUGAAGAGGUUUGGAGGACCUGGGGGGUUGGAGAAGCUGGAGACUCCUCUUUUGUUUCCUUCGGAGCUGAGGCUCUCCACCUUCUGUGGGGACACGGUGCCACCCCUGCACAGUGCCAGCCCAUAGGCCCUCACCAACCAGACCCUCGCCAGCAAAGUACCCAGCCCACCUGGAGAGGCCAAAGAUAGCGACCUCUGCUGUUCAGAUUCAAAUGACCAGGAACCAGGGAAAGUGCUGUGGACAGCCUCAGUGGUGAGGAGAGAUAGAGAGUGAAACCAGUGAAAAAUAAGUUACGACAGAACACUGAGAUUGUUAUGAGGAGUACACAAUAUAGUAGACCUCCCGCAGUAGACUAGUAGUGUAGUGGACUGUAAGACAGUGUGGUGGACUGUAGCGGAAAUGAGAAUCCAAUGAUCACAUGUGUUCUUACUGAAGAAGCAGCCAGUGAAGUCAGUGAAUGGCUACUACCAGCUGACGCGGGAGGCUCCGCAAACUCCGGUAAGUAAAUUAUUAUAUAACAAUACCUUAAAACAAAAAUGCCUAUGCACAGUACAUAUGGCAUAGGCUGAAUCCCAAAUCACUCCCAUCUCCUCGGCUCUCAAUUUGCGCAUUCACACUCUGCCAUAUAAACAAGUAUCCCAAAGCUGAGGGAGUGAAAAUUAUUGAGGGUGAAGGCCAGGGAUAAUAAUCAUUUGUAGCCUGCAAAUUGACCAUAAGAAGCCCAAACAGAUAUCAUAUUUGACUAAUUUCAAACCUUGCUUACAUUUCUGUACAAUGAUUUGCUGGUGUUUUUACAGUUUUUUUAACAAUUACAUUUUUUUUUGCUCAGAAAACAUGGGGGGACCAAAUUAAAUCAUCCGUGGGCUAACUCUGAUGUAGGGUUUAAUUAGACCCUCCAAUAGCCACUUCGGCCAGGCGAGCAAGGCUGCAGGCUUCAGAGCAAAGUGCCAUCCCGACAAGCACUGCAAUAUGUUUAGAGUUCACGCAAUUUAAUUCAAAGGAAUGGAGAGGCAUGCCUAAUUAUAUGCCACGUGUAUUUCUUUAACCCAGAUUUCCAAACUUGACACAUGUAACAGAUAAAAUACCUUCCAAAUGAACUGUUAUAACACACUCCAUUACCCACAAGAGCCUGACGCUUGACCUCAAGUCUGCCUUCUUUGUGCCACAGGGCACUACAUUAGUGACAUCUUGAAUGCAAGUGGAAACUGGUUCUACUGUAACCACAGCCAGGUCUCAAUGUACAAUGAAGCCACUGUGCUGAGGACCAGAGCCCAGAGUGCUUACCUGCUCUUCUAUUUGUUCAGAGCAGGAGAGGAGGCCCCAGCACACAGGGCCUAACAGGGCCACCAGUCCCAGCCUCAACAGGUGCAGCACUUGGACCAGCCUCAACAGGGGUAGUUCCAGGCCCAGACUCAACACCCUCAGACCUGCCUCGACAGGGGUAGAACCAGGCCCAGUCUCAAAACCCCCAGCCUCAACAGGGGCAGCACUGACCCAGCCUCACAUCCCCAGCCCAACCUCAACACCUCCAUGUUUGCCCCUCUUCAUGUUUUUCCCUGACAACAUUCCCACUGUUGUGUAAAAGGAAAAGAAAAAUAACUUAAGGAAUCGGACCUCCAACCCCCCCUACAAAAAAAUGAUGACUGGUCUGUCAAUCAUGCGGCUCAAGGGAGACUUGAUCUUCAACACAAGCAUGAGCAUCCUUUUCAGUAACAUAUGUCAUAAAUAUCUGCCCUUGUUUUGACUACUUCACCUAAUCUAUAAAGCGGAUGUAAAAAAUAAAGUAUACACACUAAAUGUAGAACACAUGUAAAUGUGGGGGAUAGAGUCUCUGAUUAUUUAGAGGGAAUAAAAUACCUUCUAUUUGAAAUCCUCCUGUUUGGAAAUACACUGUGGUGUAUAACCUUAUUCAGCAAGGUCACACCGGAUCCACUGCGAUAUUCUACAUUGAUCCAGAUCCCCAGGAUAUUGGGAGAUUACUUGUGCAUGUCAUGCAAUUUCAAUAAAGAAAAACAAACUGAAGAUAAUCCAAUUGAAGAUAAUUCUGUUAACCGUUCUAACUCUUUCAGCUCAGGAAGCUUUAUCGUCUGGGAUUCAGGCCGGUCCUAAUAGGUAAGGAGACAUGCUAUGAGUAUAUUUUGAAGUUACUUUCCAGUUGUAUUUACCAUUUGAAUGAAUACAGACAUGAAAAUGCUGACCUAUGGAUGUAGCCUUGGUUCUCUGAGUGAGAUGCUUAAUAUCAAAAGUGAUGCCACACCCUUACUGUACCCAUGUGACCUGUCACCACAAAAGGGGGUGUGACGUGACAUACUGUCUUUUAUUCACUCACGUACAGUCCCCUAUGUAUUUAUUUCGACAGUUGAAGCUACAACUUUUAAUUUGGUUCUAUACUCAAGCAUUUUGGAUUUGAGAUAAAAUUGUUUCAUAUGACUAUAUAGAAUAGAAUGUCACCUUUUAUUUA